GACGAACGCUGGCGGCGUGCUUAACACAUGCCAGUCGAGCGGAAAGGCCUCUUUCGGGGGGUACUCGAGUGGCGAACGGGUGAGUAACACGUGAGUAACCUGCCCUUGACUUUGGGAUAACUUCAGGAAACUGGGGCUAAUACCGGAUAGGAGCUCCUGCUGCAUGGUGGGGGUUGGAAAGUUUCGGCGGUUGGGGAUGGACUCGCGGCUUAUCAGCUUGUUGGUGGGGUAGUGGCUUACCAAGGCUUUGACGGGUAGCCGGCCUGAGAGGGUGACCGGCCACAUUGGGACUGAGAUACGGCCCAGACUCCUACGGGAGGCAGCAGUGGGGAAUAUUGCACAAUGGGUGGAAGCCUGAUGCAGCAACGCCGUGUGCGGGAUGACGGCCUUCGGGUUGUAAACCGCUUUCGCUCAUGACGAAGCUUUGUGUGACGGUAGUGGGUAAAGAAGCACCGGCUAACUACGUG
rnacentral:rRNA from 1 species